rnacentral:rRNA from 1 species
ACCUGGCGGCGAUAGCGCGGUGGUCCCACCUGACCCCAUGCCGAACUCAGAAGUGAAACGCCGUAGCGCCGAUGGUAGUGUGGGGCUUCCCCAUGUGAGAGUAGGGAACUGCCAGGUU